UGGACGACAGUUUGAACAAUGGUGCUAG
rnacentral:piRNA from 1 species